rnacentral:rRNA from 1 species
CCGACGGUGAGGGGCGAAAGCUGGGGCACGAACCGGAUUAGAUACCCGGGUAGUCCCAGCCGUAAACGAUGCUCGCUAGGUGUCUGGGAUGGUGCGACCGUUUCAGGUGCCGCAGGGAAGCCGUGAAGCGAGCCACCUGGGAAGUACGGCCGCAAGGCUGAAACUUAAAGGAAUUGGCGGGGGGCACUACAACGGGUGGAGCCUGCGGUUUAAUUGGACUCAACGCCGGAAAACUCACCUGGGGCGA